rnacentral:rRNA from 1 species
UAAUACGUAGGGUGCGAGCGUUGUCCGGAAUUAUUGGGCGUAAAGAGCUCGUAGGCGGUGUGUCGCGUCGGUCGUGAAAACUUUCAGCUUAACUGGGAGCUUGCGGUCGAUACGGGCAUCACUGGAGUUCGGCAGGGGAGACUGGAAUUCCUGGUGUAGCGGUGAAAUGCGCAGAUAUCAGGAGGAACACCGGUGGCGAAGGCGGGUCUCUGGGCCGAUACUGACGCUGA